rnacentral:rRNA from 1 species
UGGGGAAUAUUGCACAAUGGAGGGAACUCUGAUGCAGCAACGCCGCGUGCGGGAUGACGGCCUUCGGGUUGUAAACCGCUUUCAGCCAUGACGAAGCUUUUGUGACGGUAGUGGUAGAAGAAGCACCGGCUAACUACGUGCCAGCAGCCGCGGUGAUACGUAGGGUGCGAGCGUUGUCCGGAAUUAUUGGGCGUAAAGAGCUUGUAGGCGGUUUGUCGCGUCGAUAGUGUAAACACGCAGCUUAACUGUGUGCCUGCUGUCGAUACGGGCUGACUAGAGGAGGGUAGGGGAGAAUGGAAUUCCCGGUGGAGCGGUGGAAUGCGCAGAUAUCGGGAGGAACACCAGUGGCGAAGGCGGUUCUCUGGACCUUUCCUGACGCUGAGAAGCGAAAGCGUGGGUAGCAAACAG